UACGAGUGGUCCAAGCGUUAUCCGGAAUUAUUGGGCGUAAAGGAUGUGUAGGUGGUUAUAUUAGUCUGGUGUCGAACCUCUCUGCUCAACAGGGAGACAGCAUUGGAAACGGUAUGACUAGAGUAUGUUAGGGGUAAGCGGAACUCAUAGUGUAGGGGUGAAAUCCGUUGAUAUUAUGGGGAACACCAAAAGCGAAGGCAGCUUACUGGAACAUUACUGACACUGAAACAUGAAAGCGUGGGUA
rnacentral:rRNA from 1 species